rnacentral:rRNA from 1 species
UACGAAGGGGGCUAGCGUUGUUCGGAAUUACUGGGCGUAAAGCGCGUGUAGGCGGUCUGGCAAGUCAGAUGUGAAAGCCCCGGGCUCAACUUGGGAACUGCAUUUGAUACUGCCAAGCUAGAGUACAGAAGAGGUGACUGGAAUUCCCAGUGUAGCGGUGAAAUGCGUAGAUAUUGGGAGGAACACCAGAUGCGAAGGCGGGUCACUGGGCUGAUGACUGACGCUAAAGCGCGAAAGCCAGGGGAGCGAACGGG